GACGGAGGGUGCAAGCGGUGUUCGGAAUCACUGGGCGUAAAGCGCGUGUAGGCGGUUUGAUAAGUCGAAUGUGAAAGCCCGAGGCACAACCUCGGAAGUGCAUUCGAAACUGUCAGGCUUGAGUACGGGAGAGGGAAGUGGAAUUCCUGGUGUAGAGGUGAAAUUCGUAGAUAUCAGGAGGAAAACCGGUGGCGAAGGCGGCUUCCUGGACCGAUACUGACGCUGAGACGCGAAAGCGUGGGGAGCAAACAGG
rnacentral:rRNA from 1 species